rnacentral:rRNA from 1 species
GCCGAAAAUGUACCGGGGCUAAACAUAUUACCGAAACUGUGGAUGAACCUCUUUAGAGGUUCGUGGUAGGAGAGCGUUCUAAGGGCGGUGAAGUCAGACCGGAAGGACUGGUGGAGCGCUUAGAAGUGAGAAUGCCGGUAUGAGUAGCGAAAGAAGGGUGAGAAUCCCUUCCACCGAAUAUCUAAGGUUUCCUGAGGAAGGCUCGUCCGCUCAGGGUUAGUCGGGACCUAAGCCGAGGCCGAUAGGCGUAGGCGAUGGACAACAGGUAGAGAUUCCUGUACCAGUGCUAAUUGUUUAACCGAUGGGGUGACACAGAAGGAUAGGGAAUCGCACGAAUGGAAAUGUGCGUCCAAGCAGUGAGUGUGAGAAGUAGGCAAAUCCGCUUCUCGCGAAGCAUGAGCUGUGAUGGGGAAGGAAAUUAAGUACGGAAGUUCCUGAUUUCACGCUGUCAAGAAAAGCCUCUAGGAAGAGUAGUACUGCCCGUACCGCAAACCGACACAGGUAGAUGAGGAGAGAAUCCUAAGGUGAGCGAGAGAACUCUCGUUAAGGAACUCGGCAAAAUGACCCCGUAACUUCGGGAGAAGGGGUGCUCUAUUAGGGUGCAAGCCCGAGAGAGCCGCAGUGAAUAGGCCCAGGCGACUGUUUAGCAAAAACACAGGUCUCUGCAAAACCGUAAGGUGACGUAUAGGGGCUGACGCCUGCCCGGUGCUGGAAGGUUAAGAGGAGUGCUUAGCUUCGGCGAAGGUACGAAUUGAAGCCCCAGUAAACGGCGGCCGUAACUAUAACGGUCCUAAGGUAGCGAAAUUCCUUGUCGGGUAAGUUCCGACCCGCACGAAAGGCGCAACGAUCUGGGCACUGUCUCAACGAGAGACUCGGUGAAAUUAUAGUACCUGUGAAGAUGCAGGUUACCCGCGACAGGACGGAAAGACCCCGUGGAGCUUUACUGCAACCUGAUAUGGAAUGUUUGUACCGCUUGUACAGGAUAGGUAGGAGCCGAAGAGACGUGUGCGCUAGCAUACGAGGAGGCAAUGGUGGGAUACUACCCUGGCUGUAUGACCAUUCUAACCCGCCACGCUUAGCGCGUGGGGAGACAGUGUCAGGUGGGCAGUUUGACUGGGGCGGUCGCCUCCUAAAGAGUAACGGAGGCGCCCAAAGGUUCCCUCAGAAUGGAUGGAAAUCAUUCGCAGAGUGUAAAGGCACAAGGGAGCUUGACUGCGAGACUGACAAGUCGAGCAGGGACGAAAGUCGGGCUUAGUGAUCCGGUGGUUCCGCAUGGAAGGGCCAUCGCUCAACGGAUAAAAGCUACCCCGGGGAUAACAGGCUUAUCUCCCCCAAGAGUCCACAUCGACGGGGAGGUUUGGCACCUCGAUGUCGGCUCGUCGCAUCCUGGGGCUGUAGUCGGUCCCAAGGGUUGGGCUGUUCGCCCAUUAAAGCGGCACGCGAGCUGGGUUCAGAACGUCGUGAGACAGUUCGGUCCCUAUCCGUCGCGGGCGCAGGAAAUUUGAGAGGAGCUGUCCUUAGUACGAGAGGACCGGGAUGGACACACCGCUGGUGUACCAGUUGUUCCGCCAGGAGCAUCGCUGGGUAGCUAUGUGUGGCAGGGAUAAACGCUGAAAGCAUCUAAGCGUGAAGCCCCCCUCAAGAUGAGAUUUCCCAUUUCUUCGGAAAGUAAGAUCCCUGAAAGAUGAUCAGGUAGAUAGGUUUGGAGUGGAAGUGUAGCGAUACAUGGAGCGGACAAAUACUAAUCGAUCGAGGACUUAACCAAAAA